rnacentral:rRNA from 1 species
UUCGGAAGUGAUUGUUUUGUGACUGAGUGGCGGACGGGUGAGUAACGCGUGGGUAACCUGCCUCGCACAGGGGGACAACAGCUGGAAACGGCUGCUAAUACCGCAUAAGCGCACAGCUUCGCAUGAAGCAGUGUGAAAAACUCCGGUGGUGUGAGAUGGACCCGCGUCUGAUUAGGUAGUUGGUGAGGUAACGGCCCACCAAGCCGACGAUCAGUAGCCGACCUGAGAGGGCGGACGGCCACAUUGGGACUGAGACACGGCCCAAACUCCUACGGGAGGCAGCAGUGGGGGAUAUUGCACAAUGGAGGGAACCCUGAUGCAGCGACGCCGCGUGAGUGAAGAAGUAUUUCGGUAUGUAAAGCUCUAUCAGCAGGGAAGAAAGGCUCCGCAAGGAGAGAUGACGGUACCUGAGUAAGAAGCCCCGGCUAACUACGUGCCAGCAGCCGCGGUAAUACGUAGGGGGCAAGCGUUAUCCGGAUUUACUGGGUGUAAAGGGAGCGUAGACGGAGAGGCAAGUCUGAAGUGAAAGCCCGGGGCUCAACCGCGGGACUGCUUUGGAAACUGUCUGUCUGGAGUACUGGAGGGGUAAGCGGAAUUCCUAGUGUAGCGGUGAAAUGCGUAGAUAUUAGGAGGAACACCAGUGGCGAAGGCGGCUUACUGGACGGUAACUGACGUUGAGGCUCGAAAGCGUGGGGAGCAAA